UUGAGAGUGGCGAACGGGUGAGUAACACGUAGGUGAUCUACCGCAGGGGUUGGGGAUAGCGCCAUGGAAACAUGGGGUAAUACCGAAUACGCUCAUUUGGCUGUGGCCGGAUGAGGAAAGGCGCUUCGGCGCCGCCCUGCGAUGAGCCUGCGCCCCAUUAGCUAGUUGGUAGGGUAACGGCCUACCAAGGCGACGAUGGGUAGCCGGCCUGAGAGGGUGAUCGGCCACACUGGGACUGAGAUACGGCCCAGACUCCUACGGGAGGCGGCAGCUAAGAAUCUUCCGCAAUGGACGAAAGUCUGACGGAGCGACGCCGCGUGGGUGAAGAAGGCCGGAAGGUUGUAAAGCCCUUUUCUCGUUGAGGAAUAAGCACAGGAGGGAAUGCCUGUGGGAUGACGGUAGGCGAGGAAUAAGUCCCGGCCAAUUACGUGCCAGCAGCCGCGGUAACACGUAUGGGACGAGCGUUGUUCGGAAUCAUUGGUGCGUAAAGGGCGCGUAGGCCGGCGAGGUAAGCCUGGUGUGAAAGACCGCAGCUUAACUGCGGAACCGCGCUAGGAACUGCUUUGCUUGAGUUCAGGAGGGGGAGCUGGAAUUCCAGGUGUAAGGGUGAAAUCUGUAGAUAUCUGGAAGAACACCGGCGGCGAAGGCGAGCUCCUGGCCAUGAACUGACGCUGAGGCGCGAAAGCGUGGGGAGCGAACAGGAUUAGAUACUCUGUGUCCACGCGUAAACGAUGUGCACUAGUGUGGCCACGAAGGUCAGUGCCGAUCACGCGUAAGGCACCGCUGGGGAGUAGCUCGCAAGGUGAACUCAAAGGAAUUGACGGGGGCCCGCACAAGCGGUGGAGCAUGUGUUAAUUCGAUGAUACGCGAGAAACUUACCAGGGCUUAAUAUCGGAGUGUGCAGGAACUGCGCAGCCUUGGGCCGGUAUACAGUGCUGCAUGCGUGUCAGCUCGUCCGUGAGUGUUGGUUAAUCCCGCAACGAGCGCAACCCUACCGUCUGUUGCCAGCAUUGAUUGGGGACUCAGGCGGAACUGCCGGUGACAAACCGGAGGAAGGUGGGGACGACGUCAGGUCAUCAUGGCCCUUAUGUCCUGGGCUACACACGUGCUACAAUGGCCGGUACAGAGCGAAGCAACACCGCGAGGUAGAGCAAAUCGCAGAAAGCCGGUCUCAGUUCGGAUUGGAGUCUGAAACCCGACUCCAUGAAGUUGGAAUCGCUAGUAAUCGCGCAUCAGCAUGGCGCGGUGAAUACGUUCACCGGGCAUUGUACACACCGCCCGUCACACCACCCGAGUUGGGGGUACCCGAAGUCGUUUGCCUA
rnacentral:rRNA from 1 species